rnacentral:lncRNA from 1 species
UUUGGUAUUGUUAUCAUUUUUUUAAAACCUAAAUUACACACUUAAAAGUGUUAAUGAUGUUUGAAGCUUUUAUUUGAAUGGAUGCAGCCUGCAUUAGCGGAUCCGGUAUGCGGGGAGAGGGAGUUUUGGUGGUUGAAACCCCAUUUUUUCCGAUUUUUUUUUUUUUAUUUUGUGGACGUUUCAGUGUGUUCCGUGGUUUGGAUCCCCCUUUUGCAGAAAGGCGGGAUCCGCACCUGGUCUGAUAUCGUCAAUAAUAGUAUGAUGAUCCGAUCAUUCAUCUGAUUUUUUAUAGUUUGGUCUUGUGCUGUGCUAGUUUUGGGGAGAAAUGAGCGCACACAGACAUUUUUAACCCUGCCAAAUUCUUUAUGUACCUGUUUCAAGUCAAGAGCUCGUAGUUCAGUGGUUGUCGUUGGUUCAUGUCUGUCAUAUAUAUUUUUUCGUAAAUUGUUUUAUUAUGAAUUAGGCCGUCAGUUAAAUUCGAAAGGUAUUGAUUCUUAUUUUUCAUGUCGGGACCUUUUAUAGCCGACUAUAAUAAUUGCUUAAAUCCAUUUAUUUUUUGAACUUUGACAAUCAUAUCACAUCUCCUUAUUUUUAUAUUGAAGAUAUAAAUGUGGUUUGAUAAAAAUGUUGUUCUUACUAAAAAAAAA